UCAUCUCGUGUAUGGUAGGUAGCAACGGACUGUUUUCAGAUAACGCCACAUGGUACAUUGGUCCCUGUUUCACGUUCCUCUUCAAUGACAUUUUGGUGGCUGGACUCUUACUUCUGCAGAGCAGAGGAGGACCUCAUGAGCUGAAUUCUAUAAAGCUUUGGACUGAGAUUUCUCACUCAGCUGAUUCAUCUUUCCUACUCUCACAGCCUGUGUUUGCACUUGAAGAAGAAACUAGAGGGAAGGAAGGUCAUGGGAGGUUACUCCAGAAGAGCUUGAGUCUUUGAGGCCGAGACCCUUCACGCUAACAUCGUUAAGCAGAGCAUUUCCUAAUGAACAUUUUCAGCAUCCACUGAAGAGACAGCUUUACCCCAAAAGGGGAUCAAAACUCACCGACCCAGGGGUUUCCUCGGGGCGCACCAUGACUUACCCGUGUCAGAUGCUUACACUGGUGGGAAGACCCCAGCCUCGUCAUACCUGAGAACACCAGAUACUCAGCUCACAGCAAAAACAAAACGAACAAGUAACCUCCACAUGACCUUGUAGGAAAGACAAUGAGAGUUUUCACUAUGAAGAUUUAAGGUAAAGUUUUGGACUCGGCCUAGAGUGCUCAUAGAGCAUCCUUAAGGAAAGCUUUUUAUUUGGAUAUGAAAUAACUGGAGGUCAGAGAAUUCAAGGGGCACAACGGCCACGACAAAGUACUGAAGUGCGAGGCCACGGCACCCUCCUGGGGGCGCAGGGGAAGGGCUCCUUGCCUGACUUCCAGUUGCGUCGCCUGGCUGCCGUCAUCCCUCCCCUCCCCCCAUCUCAUUGACGUCGGCCAGCUGUGGGGGCCCAGGAGGCGGGAGGCUGUGGGGCUGGAGACUUGCUCCCUUUGAAAAUGGAGGCUCCACCUGCAAGG